CUUUCAUGCCAAUUAAAGUAGAAAAUCAAUUCAGAAUUCAUGAUUUAAUGAAACAAAUCGGUGGUUCUCCCAUUGGAUUAACCUGGUUAAAUGUAUUUGUCAUGAAUAAAGGAGCUAUUAUAAAGGUUAUCAGUUUACUACUUUCCAUUUUCAUCUUCAUGUUGCAGUUCCAACAGUUACACGAAAGCAGAGAUUGUGCUGCUCAGGAAGAACGAGAAUAUCAGAGAGAUUUCAUUACAGAUUAAGGGUGAUUCAAAAUAUACUUGCUUAAAUAUUUUUGGUUUCAGUAUUUAAGCAAUAUACUACAAUAUUUUUAAUAUUGCAUAUUAUAUAUCACGC
rnacentral:lncRNA from 1 species